UAGCUUUGUUGCCUCUUGGCGUUUUAACUCCUUGCCAGUUGCCAGUGCUCCAUCUCCCCUUCGGCGAUGAUCGCUUCAACCGUCAACACAGAGCAGUCUCAUCAGCACAGGAUUUUGAAUGCUUAAUACGCACAAUUUGCUAAAGAGCAGUGUUGCCCUUGCGAAGUUGAGCACAUAACGUAGCUCACAAUUUCAAAACAUAUGGAUAAUGGUAAGGUGAACUGUUGUCUUAGCGGUGAUCACUUGCCCUUUCCACAUGAGCCAGUUAUCUUUCUGUCUUUGGCUUGAACUACAACAAAUGUGGGGUGCCUGGGAAUUCUUGAGAUAUGACCUGUUAUGUAAUGGCUUUUCUUUUAUGUGGAUAAGCCAAUAAGGAAUGGGUGAUAAGAAAAAAGGCUCAAACGUUUGUUCGGCUUGUCUCGGCUGCUGGGACUGGAUUCUUCUAUGUCAAGAGGAAGCCUAGGCAGUUUACAG